AGAGUUUGAUCCUGGCUCAGGAUGAACGCUAGCUACAGGCUUAACACAUGCAAGUCGAGGGGAAACGAUAGAGAAAGCUUGCUUUUUCUAGGCGUCGACCGGCGCACGGGUGAGUAACGCGUAUCCAACCUGCCCAUCACUUGGGGAUAACCUUGCGAAAGUAAGACUAAUACCCAAUGACGUCCAUAGAAGACAUCUGAAGUGGAUUAAAGAUUUAUCGGUGAUGGAUGGGGAUGCGUCUGAUUAGCUUGUUGGCGGGGUAACGGCCCACCAAGGCGACGAUCAGUAGGGGUUCUGAGAGGAAGGUCCCCCACAUUGGAACUGAGACACGGUCCAAACUCCUACGGGAGGCAGCAGUGAGGAAUAUUGGUCAAUGGGCGAGAGCCUGAACCAGCCAAGUAGCGUGCAGGAUGACGGCCCUAUGGGUUGUAAACUGCUUUUAUAAGGGAAUAAAGUGAGUCUCGUGAGACUUUUUGCAUGUACCUUAUGAAUAAGGACCGGCUAAUUCCGUGCCAGCAGCCGCGGUAAUACGGAAGGUCCGGGCGUUAUCCGGAUUUAUUGGGUUUAAAGGGAGCGUAGGCCGGAGAUUAAGCGUGUUGUGAAAUGUAGACGCUCAACGUCUGCACUGCAGCGCGAACUGGUUUCCUUGAGUACGCACAAAGUGGGCGGAAUUCGUGGUGUAGCGGUGAAAUGCUUAGAUAUCACGAAGAACUCCGAUUGCGAAGGCAGCUCACUGGAGCGCAACUGACGCUGAAGCUCGAAAGUGCGGGUAUCGAACAGGAUUAGAUACCCUGGUAGUCCGCACGGUAAACGAUGGAUGCCCGCUGUUGGUCUGAAUAGGUCAGCGGCCAAGCGAAAGCAUUAAGCAUCCCACCUGGGGAGUACGCCGGCAACGGUGAAACUCAAAGGAAUUGACG
rnacentral:rRNA from 1 species